rnacentral:tRNA from 1 species
UUAAUUGAAACCAAAAAGAGGUAUAUCAUUGUUAAUGAUUAAACUGAGACUACUCCAAUUAAA